CCUUUUCAACGAUUCCUCUGCCCUGGAUAGAGAGCGGUGUCUCAUAACAGUUUGGAAACUACAAAAGUUUCCCUGGCAGGAUGAAUGAUUGACUCGGCAACAUGUUCUUGCCUUUUGGAGUUGCCCUCCAAUUUUUCCAGGCUUGAUUCUGUAAAUCAUUUCAUCUUGUAAAAAUACUGGGCUGUGAGCACGGAUGAUCUCAAAGAUGAGGAAACAGAAGCUGGGAUAUGUGAGUAAACAUUUCCAAGGUCCUGCAGCUAAUCAAUGGUUGACAACUUCUUUCCUCUGCCUAUGUUGCCAUCCAUGUCAUGGUUUGUGUCAAGACUCUAGGAGAAGUCUACCAUCAGCACCACAGCUACUGUGCACAAAUCCAGAAUGCCAGACUGAAGUCAGAAGGAAAGGGAAAUGUUCUUAUCACCCAUUCCUGUCAGAGAUGAUGCAGCUCAUUGCUGAUGCUGAGAUCCAACGUCCAGUGCCUGAGUACCCCUGGAUUCUGAGCACUAGGGGCUGGACUGUGGAGACCAUCAGUUCAUAACAUCCUGUCCCUGCUCCCUGCUGUAGAUGACUGAGACCAGAAAGAAGAUUGGAAAAAUCUCCCAUGACCAAGGAAAAUUGUGAAAAAUAUUUCUGAUAUUUUGUCUAUGCAUUUUAUUUUUGAGGGUGUUUUUUAUAUUAGUGUGACUAUUUUGUAUUUCCUACCCUGUUGUAAACUUUUUAAAAAUUGCUCUUACAGUUAUUACUAAGUAUAUGAUUUAAAAUCCCUAAUUAGGGUUCUUAAACAAGGGAGAAGCACUCUCAUACCCCUAGAACAAGAUGAACAAAAGAAGGAGGAAAAAUCUUGACCUCCGUAAGAUCCAGGAUGGCACGUGCAAGGCACUGACACAGCAUCUGCCGGCAUCACUGACUCUCCUGGACCCCAGAAGCCCAGUUCCCCAGGCUCUGAAACCCUGCAGCAAUGAAAAGGAAGCACAGGCAAACCAUAAGGAAGAUAA
rnacentral:lncRNA from 1 species